rnacentral:misc_RNA from 1 species
GGAUGAGUAUGUCCUGGCGGUUGUUUCAAAAAGUCCAUAGCAAUUGCUAUGCAGCUUUAUUAAGCAAAAUUAACCAGUUUACGUAAUCAGUCAUUAGCUGCAAAUAGCUUUAGCUUAGCUUAAAUGCCAAGCCAAUAAUGAGUGCUUUGGUCGUUUUUAGUUUGAAAAUUAUGUCAUCAAAGAUUUAAUGAUGCUAUUUAUUGUUCUUA